UACGUAGGGGGCAAGCGUUGUCCGGAAUCAUUGGGCGUAAAGCGCGUGUAGGCGGCCCGAUAAGUCCGCUGUGAAAGUCCAGGGCUCAACCCUGGAAUGCCGGUGGAUACUGUCGGGCUCGAGUCCGGAAGAGGCGAGUGGAAUUCCUGGUGUAGCGGUGAAAUGCGCAGAUAUCAGGAGGAACACCGGUGGCGAAGGCGGGACUCUGGGCCGAUACUGACGCUGAGGAGCGAAAGCGUGGGGAGCAAACAGG
rnacentral:rRNA from 1 species